rnacentral:rRNA from 1 species
GACGAACGCUGGCGGCGUGCCUAAUACAUGCAAGUUGAGCGCUGAAGGCUGGUACUUGUACCAACUGGAUGAGCAGCGCACGGGUGAGUAACGCGUGGGGAAUCUGCCUUUGAGCGGGGGACAACAUUUGGAAACGAAUGCUAAUACCGCAUAAAAUCUUUAAACACAAGUUUUAAGUGUGAAAGAUGCAAUUGCAUCACUCAAAGAUGAUCCCGCGUUGUUUUAGCUAGUUGGUGAGGUAAAUGCUCACCAAGGCGAUGAUACAUAGCCGACCUGAGAGGGUGGUCAGCCACACUGGGACUGUGACACGGCCCAAACGGCUACGGGAGGCAGCAGUAGGGAAUCUUCGGCAAUGGGCGAAAGACUGUGCGAGAAACGCCGCGUGAGGGAAGAAGGUUGUCGGAUCGGAAAACUCGGUUGGUGGAGAAGAACGCGGGUGCGAGUGGAAAGCACAGCAAGUGACGGUAACGACCCAGAAAGGGACGGCUAACUACGUG